UAGGGAAUCUUCCGCAAUGGACGCAAGUCUGACGGAGCAACGCCGCGUGUGUGAAGAAGGUUUUCGGAUCGUAAAGCACUGUUAUUAGAGAAGAACAGCCGAUAGAGUAACUGUUAUCGGUUUGACGGUAUCUAACCAGAAAGUGACGGCUAACUACGUGCCAGCAGCCGCGGUAAUACGUAGGUCACAAGCGUUGUCCGGAUUUAUUGGGCGUAAAGGGAGCGCAGGCGGUUUGUUAAGUCUGAUGUGAAAGCCCACGGCUCAACCGUGGAACGGCAUUGGAAACUGGCAAACUUGAGUAUAGAAGAGGAAAGUGGAAUUCCAUGUGUAGCGGUGAAAUGCGUAGAUAUAUGGAGGAACACCAGUGGCGAAGGCGACUUUCUGGUCUAUAACUGACGCUGAGGCUCGAAAGCGUGGGGGAGCGAACAGGAUUAGAUACC
rnacentral:rRNA from 1 species